rnacentral:rRNA from 1 species
GACGAACGCUGGCGGCGUGCUUAACACAUGCAAGUCGUACGGUAAGGCCCUUUCGGGGGUACACGAGUGGCGAACGGGUGAGUAACACGUGAGUAACCUGCCCACAACUUUGGGAUAACGCUAGGAAACUGGUGCUAAUACUGGAUAUGUGCUCCUGCUGCAUGGUGGGGGUUGGAAAGCUCCGGCGGUUGUGGAUGGACUCGCGGCCUAUCAGCUUGGUGGUGGGGUAGUGGCCUACCAAGGCGGUGACGGGUAGCCGGCCUGGGAGGGUGACCGGCCACAGUGGGACUGGGAGACGGCCCAGACGCCUACGGGGGGCAGCAGGGGGGAAUAUUGCACAAGGGGCGCAAGCCUGAUGCAGCAACGCCGCGUGCGGGAGGACGGCCUUCGGGUUGUAAACCGCGUUCAGCAGGGACGAAGCUUUUUGUGACGGUACCUGCAGAAGAAGCACCGGCUAACUACGUG